UACGAAGGGUGCAAGCGUUAAUCGGAAUUACUGGGCGUAAAGCGCGCGUAGGUGGUUCAGCAAGUUGAAGGUGAAAUCCCCGGGCUCAACCUGGGAACUGCCUCCAAAACUACUGAGCUAGAGUACGGUAGAGGGUAGUGGAAUUUCCUGUGUAGCGGUGAAAUGCGUAGAUAUAGGAAGGAACACCAGUGGCGAAGGCGACUACCUGGACUGAUACUGACACUGAGGUGCGAAAGCGUGGGGAGCAAACAGG
rnacentral:rRNA from 1 species